AAUCAACGCUGGCGGCGUGCCUCAGACAUGCAAGUCGAACGAUUAAACUUCCCUUCGGGGAAGAUAUAAAGUGGCGCACGGGUGAGUAACACGUAAGUAAUCUACCUUCGAGUGGGGAAUAACAUCGGGAAACCGAUGCUAAUACCGCAUAACGCAGCGGCACCUAAUGGUGACAGUUGUUAAAGGAGCAAUUCGCUUGAAGAGGAGCUUGCGGCAGAUUAGCUAGUUGGUAAGGUAAUGGCUUACCAAGGCUUCGAUCUGUAUCCGGUCUAAGAGGACGGUCGUACACACUGACAAGGAAUAACGGGUCAGACGCCUACGGGAGGCAGCAGUCGGGAAUUUUGGGCAAUGGGCGAAAGCCUGACCCAGCAACGCAGCGUGAAGGAUGAAGUAUUUCGGUAUGUAAACUUCGAAAGAAUGGGUAGAACUCAAUGACGGUACCAUUUAUAAGCUCCGGCUAACUACGUGCCAUCCGCCGCAGUAAUAC
rnacentral:rRNA from 1 species